rnacentral:lncRNA from 1 species
UAAAUUAACAAUUUUUGAAGUCACAUUAUUUGUUGAUCACAAUUCAUAUUUUUCAUUGGUCAUAUAUUGUUUAUUGAUCACAAAUUAACCAAUUAAUGGUCAUAAUCAAUCAAAUAAUUUGUGAUCACCACCAACAUUUGCGACCACCAUCUCACCACUACCUCCAACAGCACCACCACUACCGUCAUCGCCAAAACCACCAAAACCACGUCCUUACAACAACCCCACCACAUCCACAACCAUCACAUCGCUUGCACCACAACUAGUUGUGACUACCACCGUCAACAACGCCAAUUUGCCACCACACCACCUAACCAGCACCAAAGUCUAUAAGCACCACCACCAAUAAAAAAAUCCCAAAAACCAAUAAAAUCCGACUACAUCCACUAAUAGAUGAACCACCACUUCUGGUGCCACCAUCACCAUCAAUACCUUAUCACAACCGCCAGCAGUACCAAUACCAUCACCACCACCUCACCAUCACAUGCUACCAUUGCAUGUACCAACCAUCGCAUUUGCUAUCUCCUCAAAUCCAUUAUGUCCACCUCUACCACACCACAACCAUCACCAACAACAACAAUAUUCCCAAACAAGCUAUCACCACCUACACUUACAGCACAAUCACCUCUACCAACUACAAAAUUUCUAAACAAGCCACCGCCACCACAAAAUCAAAAGAAGAGUGAAACGAAGCCAGGUGGCUAGAAGGCCGACGAGAGGAAAAUGUAGAGGAAAUUUCGAUCUACCUCUGACUGCUUGGCGAUGGAGGUAAGUUGUCGAAGACCUGCGCACCACCUAUGGAGGUUGCCUAGGUGAUAAAAGAGAGAAGAGAGAAGGAAGAGGUAGAUAGAGAAAAGGAAGAGGAAAA